rnacentral:rRNA from 1 species
CCUACGGGUGGCAGCAGUGGGGAAUAUUGGACAAUGGGGGGAACCCUGAUCCAGCCAUGCCGCGUGUGUGAAGAAGGCCCUCGGGUUGUAAAGCACUUUCAGUGAGGAAGAACGCCUGGUGGUUAAUACCCAUCAGGAAAGACAUCACUCACAGAAGAAGCACCGGCUAACUCCGUGCCAGCAGCCGCGGUAAUACGGAGGGUGCGAGCGCUAAUCGGAAUUACUGGGCGUAAAGCGCGCGUAGGUGGCUUGAUAAGCCGGUUGUGAAAGCCCCGGGCUCAACCUGGGAACGGCAUCCGGAACUGUCAAGCUAGAGUGCAGGAGAGGAAGGUAGAAUUCCCGGUGUAGCGGUGAAAUGCGUAGAGAUCGGGAGGAAUACCAGUGGCGAAGGCGGCCUUCUGGACUGACACUGACACUGAGGUGCGAAAGCGUGGGUAGCAAACAGGAUUAGAUACCCGAGUAGUC